rnacentral:rRNA from 1 species
UACGGGGGGGGGCAAGCGUUGUUCGGAAUUACUGGGCGUAAAGGGCUCGUAGGCGGCCAACUAAGUCGGAUGUGAAAUCCCCAGGCUCAACUUGGGAACUGCAUCCGAUACUGGAUGGCUUGAAUUCGGGAGAGGGAUGCAGAAUUCCAGGUGUAGCGGUGAAAUGCGUAGAUAUCGGGAGGAACGCCAAUUGCGAAGGCAGCUCGCUGGGACGUUACUGACGCUGAGACGCGAAAGCGUGGGGAGCAAACAGG